GGGGCUCAGAGGUGCUGUGCAUGAGGGCUUCAGCGAGGAGGGCUGACCCUCUGAGUCCUCCCCUGGCUGAGCAAGCGCCUGGCCUCCAGCCUCCGUGCGCUGAGUGGGGACGUCGGGGGACGCUGGUCAACAUAACUCCCCACGGGCCCCACCUGGGCCCCAAACCCAGGUUUGUGUGCUUGUUUUUGUUCUUGACUAUUUUUGUUUAUUUCUUUUAAGACAAUCUUGCAAUUUCCACAGAGAAAAAUAUAAAACAAGAAGCAGACCUGGUUCAAACCCGUGAACAGUGUGCUGGGAUUUCAGGCUUUACCGUCACUUUGUGACAGAAGGACGCAGCCUACCCCUGGGCACGAGCCUUCCUGAGGAAGACGUGAUGUCUCUCCUCCUGCCACUGGGAUGGCUCAGGGGAUGAAAAUGGAUCAACGGUGAACAGGAACGAGACCCACAUGGUGUGGCCCAUCCAGGCCGGCACACUGGAGAGGCUGGGGGAGAGCCUGGUGCCCGCCUUCCUGCACAGCGACAGCACUUACACCCACAGCCUCCUGGGCACAUGCAGAGCUUUUGCCACCACCCAACAGGUGCUGGAGCUGCUGUUUAAAGGGCCAUAGCCUCUAUCCUGGGCACUUGGCUGGAUCAGUACUGUGAAGAUUAUUUCCAGCCCCCAGAAUCCCUCUGCCUGAAGAUGCUGUUGGCCUAUGUGCUGGUCAACAUGCCCAGGCUUGGACCUGGAGUGCCAUGCCCACCUUCUCCUGGCACAGCUGGAGCACCUUGAGCCCACUGAGGUGGAAACUGAAGCACCAGCUCCAGAGCAAGAUCAAGAACCACCUCAAGACCUAGUGCCAGCUCAAACUAUGGUGACAGCUCCAGCUCCAGCUCCAGAAUGAGAGCAGACUAGAGCCACAGCUCCUGUUCAAGCUGAAGAGUUAUGCCAGUUCCACAUAAAGAGCCAGAGCAGCCACAGGCAACUGCUCUCAUUUAAGCUAAAGAAUUAAGCAACUACAUCAGCUUCAGCUUUAGAAUCAGAGCAUGCUCAAGCCACAGCUUUAAUUUAGGCUCAAGAGCUAGAAGGAGAAACUGCACCAGCUUCAACUUCUCUCAAGUGCAGAUUCAAACCAUAGCUCUCCUUCAAGGUAAAGCCCUGGAACCACCACCUGCACCAUCUCUGGCGUCAGAGGAAGAGCAGGCCCAAGCUAGAGCUCUCAUUCAGUUUCAAGAACUAAAACAAACACAUAUUUCUAGACCUGGAGCAGGCUCAAACUAGAGCUCUCAUUCAAGUUGAAGAGUUAGAACAACUUCCUGCACCAUCUGCAGCUUCAGUGCGAGAGCAGCUCCAGCCAGAGCUCAAGUAAGCUCAAGAGCUGGAACAAGCACUUACCAUCAUGAGUUCCAUGGAGCCGAUGACAUAG
rnacentral:lncRNA from 1 species